rnacentral:rRNA from 1 species
UACGAAGGGGGCUAGCGUUGCUCGGAAUCACUGGGCGUAAAGGGUGCGUAGGCGGCCCUUUAAGUCCGGGGUGAAAUCCUGGAGCUCAACUCCAGAACUGCCUUUGAUACUGAGGAUCUUGAGUUCGGGAGAGGUGAGUGGAACUGCGAGUGUAGAGGUGAAAUUCGUAGAUAUUCGCAAGAACACCAGUGGCGAAGGCGGCUCACUGGCCCGAUACUGACGCUGAGGCACGAAAGCGUGGGGAGCAAACAGG